GUAGUCUCGCACAGAUGCAUAUCAAUAAGCGGAGGAAAAGAAACUAACUAGGAUUCCCUCAGUAACGGCGAGUGAAGCGGGAAGAGCUCAAAUUUGAAAUCUUCAAGGUUCUACCUUGACGAAUUGUAGUUUAAAGAGGUGUUUUCUGUUGGAGUUUUGGUAAAAGUUCUUUGGAAUAGGACAUCAUAGAGGGUGAGAAUCCCGUAUUUGACCAUUAUUUCCAGCUUUGUGAUACACUUUCAAAGAGUCGGAUUGUUUGGGAAUGCAGUCCAAAAUGGGUGGUAAAUUUCAUCUAAAGCUAAAUACUGGCGAGAGACCGAUAGCGAACAAGUACCGUGAGGGAAAGAUGAAAAGAACUUUGAAAAGAGAGUUAAACAGUACGUGAAAUUGUCAAAAGGGAAGCGUUUGACACCAGUGUUGUUUUCUCGAAAAUCAAUUAAAAAAGGCAGGAUUUUGUGUUGUAUUGACUUUAUCAGCUUUCUGCACUCUUUUCUUGUCUUUUUUAAUGCACCUUUCGUUUAACAAGUCAACAUCAAUUUCUUUUGUUGUAAAAGGGUCAUUGGAAGGUGGCUUUCUUUUCGGAGAAAGUGUUUAUAGCCUUUGGCCUCUGCAAUCGGAGAGAUUGAGGUCUGCAGCGUAGGAUCCUUCGGGGUUAGAUACAUUUGUGCUAAGUUAUAGCCUUUCAUAGACAACUUGUUGACUAUGAUCAGUCAUGUAGCUUACUCGCUUAUGCUAUUUUACCUACGCUUAGGAUGUUGAAGUCAUCGUAUCGCGC
rnacentral:rRNA from 1 species